CGCUACCUAUGGUGUGAACAAGGUCUGAAGGUGAUGACCUCCAGCUCACAGCCAAGCUUCCACACAACCGCCUAGCAGGUCAACUAAUGCAAUGUGAAUAAAGCCAGACUGUAAGCCACACCCAUAUGAGACCGUGUAAUGGAGACCACCAGGUGCAAAAGAAUGUUUAAAUGCCAGGUUUUUGGCAAGUGGAGAAAGUUUCAGCUCACUCCAUUUUCAAUUUCGCCUUGGGAUAUCAACUGUCUCAAUAAUUGUCAAGGAGACAAGUGUUUAUCUGGGAACAACUGCAUGAUGAAUUUAUCCCACAUCCAACUAGACAGCAUUGGACAGAAAUAUCAUGAUUUUUUUUUUUUUGACGUUUGUCAGUUUCCCAACUGCAUAGGUGCGGUAGACAGGAAACAUAUUCAUAUUAACAAGCCCCAAGGAACUGGAUCAGAGUUUUUCAAUUACAAGAAAUAUUUUUCGAUAAUCCUAAUGGCCAUUGCAGAUGCUCAAUAUCGUUUUGUUGCCGUCAACGUAGGGGCCUAUGGACGCAGCAACGAUUCCAUGGUUUUUAAAAAUUCAAAUAUGGGCCGUAGUCUAUAUAACGGACAAUUCGAUUUUCCUCUCCCUCAACCACUUCCAGGUACUGAUGGCACACCCAUGCCGUUUGUAUUGGUUGGUGAUGAGGCCUUCCAAAUGUGUGGAAAUCUAAUUAAACCGUAUUCCAGCCGCGGAUUAGAUUUAAAAAAACGCACAUACAACUACCGAGGUUGUAAAGUCUGCUGUGGUGUUACACAACUACCUGCUUAAAAAAGAACCUCUCAAUUUGGAACAGGUACCGUGGGACAGCGAGAUCGCAAGCAUUCAUAGUUGUCGACAUCGGUCAACUGUAGCGGUUGCACGGAUGAGAGACUCUUUUGCAGAUUAUUUCUGCUCUGAAGCAGGAAGGGUGGACUGGCAGGACCCAUUUGUAUAAAAAAUUUUUUAAUCAUUUUCAAAUAACCGUUAAUUUCUGUUUGUUGGCCCGUUUGCUGAUGGUUACAGUUAGUUGUAUUUGAUUUUAAUUGCAUUUUGUGUUCAAUAAAUAUUGUUUUUACGUAAUUGAGAUUUUAUUUUAAUAUAUUGAUGUGCCCACGCUAGAGGAGCGACACAUACUUGUGUCGCUCCACUGGCGCUGGUAGAUUUAAUCAGGCCUGUUAUGGAGACUGAGGUUAAAUCUGCCCACGCUAGAGGAGCGAAUAGUUGUGUCGCUCCGCCAGUGCUGGGAGAUUAUGUCUGGCCUAUUAUACACCUAGCUUUCUCACACUCUCCCAACGCUGGUGGAGCGACAAUUAGUUGUGUCGCUCCGCCAGUGCUGGGAGAUUAUGUCUGGCCUGGGAAUGCUGAGCCUGUGGAGGCUGCAAAGUUGGAUAGGGGUGGGGGAAUGGUUGUGGGACGGUGUGCCAGUUGCCACAAAACGAUAUCCAUCUGUCUUCUGGCCUCAUACUGCUGUGAAUAUUUUGCAGGUUCCGUUUUUUUUUUUUGCAUAAUGAUGUAAUAUAUGAGACUUAUCCCCACUGAAUAUAUGUUUAACAACAAGUUUUUACACUAUGAUAUGAAUAUGUAGCCUGUGUUCCACUAGGAUGGUGUUCUUUUCUGCUACCUUCUUUUUAAAAUGACAACGUCGUUUAUAUAUGUAGUAUUGUGAUUUCAAUAAAAUGUUUGUACUGA